rnacentral:misc_RNA from 1 species
GGAAUAAAAGUCGUAACAAGGUUUCCGUAGGUGAACCUGCGGAAGGAUCAUUAUUGUAUAACCGAGGUGCGAGGGCUGUCGCUGACCCGAAAGGUCGUGCACGCCCGAGUGCCCUCACACACAUCCAUCUCACCCCUAUGUGCACCACCGCGUGGGUCCCCCUUUGGCUUGUUCGGAGGGGGGCUUACGUUUUCACACAAACUUUGUAUGCAGUGUAGAAUGCAUUUUUUGUUUUUGCGAUCACGCAAUCAAUACAACUUUCAACAACGGAUCUCUUGGCUCUU